GCCCUCGUAGCUCAAUUGGAUAGAGCAACGGCCUUCUAAGCCGUCGGUUGUCCGUUCGAGUCGGACCGAGGGUGCCA
rnacentral:tRNA from 2 species